GGGUCGGUUCGGCCGGAUUUCACACAGGUGUUGCAUGGCUGUCGUCAGCUCGUGUCGUGAGAUGUUGGGUUAAGUCCCGCAACGAGCGUAACCCUCAUCCUUAGUUGCAUCAGGUAAUGCUGAGCACUUUAAGGAAACUGCUAGUGAUAAACUGGAGGAAGGUGGGGAUGAUGUCAAGUCAUCAUGGCCCUUAUGGAGUGGGCUACACACGUGCUACAAUGGUGGCUACAAUGGGCUGCAAAGUCGCGAGGCCAAGCUAAUCCCUUAAAAGCCAUCUCAGUUCGGAUUGUACUCUGCAACUCGAGUGCAUGAAGUUGGAAUCGCUAGUAAUCGUGGAUCAGCAUGCCACGGUGAAUACGUUCUCGGGUCUUGUACACACUGCCCGUCACGCCAUGGGAAUUGGUUUCACUCGAAGCUAAUGACCUAACCGCAAGGAGGGAGUUAUUUAAAGUGGGAUCAGUGACUGGGGUGAAGUCGUAACAAGGUAGGCGUAGUGCU
rnacentral:rRNA from 1 species